CGCGGUGCAAUGAUGACUGAACUUUUUUCCCCAUCGGAUCGAACGUGGCGAUGCAAACUGCACUAAGCCAGUUACGUCUGAUGUGCCGCA
ensembl:snoRNA small nucleolar RNA, C/D box 12B